UACGUAGGGGCGCAAGCGUUUAUCCGGAAUUAUUGGGCGUAAAGAGCUCGUAGGCGGUUUGUCGCGUCUGCCGUGAAAGUCCGGGGGCUCAACUCCGGAUCUGCGGUGGGUACGGGCAGACUAGAGUGAUGUAGGGGAGACUGGAAUUCCCGUGUAGUGGGUGGAAUGCGUAGAUAUCGGGAGGAACGACCAGUCGGCGA
rnacentral:rRNA from 1 species